AUACAGUGAAGACCUCGACCUAAUCCUGCGGAUUAAUACUGAAUUGGGUCAUAAGACUGAAUUUAGAUCUUGCUGCAGGACUUAGAGGAGUGAUAAAUCCUCCUGAAAUAACCGUGAAGUUGAGGACUUGUAGACUCCCUAUUCAGACAAAUGCGAUUAACAAGGGGCUUUGGAGCAGCUUUGAGGUUAAAAUAACGACGACAGAAAGAAAAGGAAGUCCGGACUUUGCAGUGUUAACAUUUCAAAAAUAUAAAUCACGAGGAAGGGAAUUAUGAGCGCUUCCUAAACAUCCCUUUGGACGUGUUACAUCAUUUCAGUUGGUCUUCACGACACAUCAAAACAAGAUGGCUUUUUAAAUUGUUUUUUAUUUCCCAGAUAAAUC